CCGUCAAUUCAUUUGAGUUUCAACCUUGCGGCCGUACUCCCCAGGCGGAGAACUUAUCGCGUUAGCUACGACACCGAUUUGCUAAGCAAACCAACGUCAAGUUCUCAUCGUUUACGGCGUGGACUACCAGGGUAUCUAAUCCUGUUUGCUACCCACGCUUUCGUGCCUCAGCGUCAAAACAGGCCCAGGAGGCUGCCUUCGCCAUCGGUGUUCUUCCAGAUAUCUACGCAUUUCACCGCUACACCUGGAGUUCCACCUCCCUCUACCGUUUUCUAGUCUGACAGUAUCGACCGCAAUUCCUAGGUUGAGCCCAGGGCUUUCACAAUCGACUUAUCAAACCGCCUACGCACGCUUUACGCCCAGUAAAUCCGAUUAACGCUAGCACCCUCUGUAUUACCGCGGCUGCUGGCACAGAGUUAGCCGGUGCUUAUUCUGUCGGUACCGUCAAGACUUCACGUAUUAAGUAAAGUUUUUUCUUCCCAACUUAAAGUGCUUUACAACCCGAAGGCCUUCUUCACACACGCGGUAUUGCUGGAUCAGGCUUUCGCCCAUUGUCCAAUAUUCCCCACUGCUGCCUCCCGUAGGAGUCCGGACCGUGUCUCAGUUCCGGUGUGACUGAUCAUCCUCUCAGACCAGUUACGGAUCGUAGCCUUGGUGAGCCAUUACCUCACCAACUAGCUAGUCCGACGUAGGUUCCUCCAAAAGCGAGAGGCCUUGCGGUCCCCCUCUUUGCUCUUGCGAGAUCAUGCGGUAUUAAUCCGGGUUUCCCCGGGUUAUCCCCCACUUAAGGGCAGAUCCCUACGUAUUCCUCACCCGUCCGCCACUAGGUAUUGCUACCUCGUUCGACUUGCAUGUGUUAGGCCUG
rnacentral:rRNA from 1 species